GAUGGCACGUGCCUGCUGAGCUCUGGAGUUGUUCAUGUGACGUGCAGCGGCUUCCAGAAGGAGGAGGAGCAGUUAGACGCGGUCUUGUCAGCUGCUGCCCAGACAGGUUCUGUAGGGCUUCUGACUGGCUGCAUUAAGCUUUGGACAUCUAAAGAGCAGCCAAGUUCUGCUGCUAAUUUACAGUUUGCCCUUGACUGGACG